UAAGGGCUCACCAAGGCGACGAUCCCUAGCUGGUCUGAGAGGAUGAUCAGCCACACUGGAACUGAGACACGGUCCAGACUCCUACGGGAGGCAGCAGUGGGGAAUAUUGCACAAUGGGCGCAAGCCUGAUGCAGCCAUGCCGCGUGUAUGAAGAAGGCCUUCGGGUUGUAAAGYACUUUCAGUCGUGAGGAAGGYRGUGUCGUUAAUAGCGGCRUURUUUGACGUUAGCGACAGAAGAAGCACCGGCUAACUCCGUGCCAGCAGCCGCGGUAAUACGGAGGGUGCGAGCGUUAAUCGGAAUUACUGGGCGUAAAGCGCAUGCAGGUGGUUUGUUAAGUCAGAUGUGAAAGCCCGGGGCUCAACCUCGGAAUAGCAUUUGAAACUGGCAGACUAGAGUACUGUAGAGGGGGGUAGAAUUUCAGGUGU
rnacentral:rRNA from 1 species